AUCCUGGUGCACGGGCUUUGCGCAAUUCAGUGAAGGUUUUGCCUGAGAAAAUGUUAUUGUUAGUUGAAAACUAUAACAUGACCACUCCUAGUUGGUCAAGGCUGGCUAGGGGAUCUUUGGAACUCUCCCUUUUCUUGAACGAAUUGUCUUUCAUUACUGUCGGUCCGCUUGCGGCCGAGA
rnacentral:snRNA from 1 species